ACAUCGGUAGCACAGUGGUUAGUGGUUAGGGGCUCCGGAAACAUAAAGACGCGGGUUCAAUUCCUGUCCGAAGUC
rnacentral:tRNA from 1 species